UCUCUAGCCGACUUCUGUUUUCCAGUCCAAAAAACUCUGAAGUUCUCAUUCCCUCUCAGUCUAAAAACUCGAUUAACAAGUCAAUCUUUAGACAAAAUCUCGAUUCAUUUUAAGUGAAGAAGAUUUCUCGAUUAAAUCAAGCAAAACAUUUCGUUUUAGGUUAAGAAGAUUACAGUGUUCGCUUAAUCUAGGGUUCUUAGAAAAAUUUCUUUGUUUUGUGAGGUUUUUGCUAUAAUGUAGAGACUUUACCUAUGGGUUUUAUUUAAUUUUUGUUUUGCUUCUUAGAUAUGGGUUUUAGAGUUUUCUGAUGAUGAUGACUUGAUGUUCUCCCUUAACAAAAAAAACUCAGGUAUGAAGGAACAGGAUGAUUUAGCUCAUAGAAAAGUGUAUGUUGCUCAAAAGGGGCUUGUCAAGUAUCUUCAGUGGUUACAGGUAUGAGGGUGAAUGGCUGCAGAACAAUAUGAUUCAGUAAGCAACUGAUUUGUCUACAAGUUUCUCCUUCUUACAUGUUUCUUCUAUUUUUUAUUGGUAGUGUUUUGUUAGAUUCGUUUUUGGAGCAUAGAUCUGAUUUAGUAGUGGUUUAUUAGAUACAACAAUAUAUGUACAUAGUUCAUUAUUCAUUAUAAUUUGAUUUAUGAUUAGGCAGUCUGAACUGAAAGCAUGUGUAGCUUACUGAUUCAUGAUUUCAUUAACAGUCUUAAUUGUUCAUCGUAUAAAUAUGGUUUAUGUCUCUUUAAUAAUUAUACAAGAUGGUAGGGUUUAGUCUGAUGGAAAUAAGUUUAAAAGUUCUGAUGUUACCUCCUUGUGUGUGAAUGAAGUAUCAAUCUUCUUUUUUUUUGCAUAUGUAUCCAUGAAUCUAUUUCACUGUUACAAUAGUAUAGGAAUUUAGUUACAUCUGUUUUGAUGGUAGUUUACCAAAUAUGUAUGCUGUCAAGAGCUAUCACUAAUGUGAUUUUGGCUUUACAAAUGCCAAGCGUUUAAUUGGUAGGAGCUUCUGUGACACCACUGUCCAAGGUGGUAUCAACAACUAGCCAUUCAAUGUUCUAUCCCCCAUGAUUGAGGUCUCAUACAAGGGAGAAGAGAAGCAUUUCUCCGCUGAGGAAAUCUCAUCCAUGGACUUGAUUAAGAUGCGUGAGAUUGCUGAGGCAUACCUUGGUUCUAUAGUUAAGAACUUUGUUGUUACAAUCCCUGCAUACUUCAACGAAUCUCAGCGUUAAGCUACAAAGGAUGCUAGGUCGUUGCUGGUCUUAAUGUUAUGGGUAUCAUCAAUGAGCCUACGGCUGCUGCCAUUGCCUGAAGAAGAUUACCAGUUCACUAAGCAAAGAUAUCAGGUUGAUGCUCUUCAGUGAUAUCUUUCCAACUGAGAUACAGAAGAUGGAUUAUGAUUUUCUUAUUUUGAUGGAGUUGAUAGUGGUGCCAUUGUGCCAUCUGAGAUUGUACACUCAAUUGACAUUCAUCCUUCGCGAAAGCAUGCCUGCGGCACAAAUACUGAAGAAAAUGUCUAUGAGAAUCAUGUCACUCAGGCGCUCAAUAGGAUAUAUAAUCCAAGAUAAUUGGCUCUAUGGUGUUGAACACAAUCAUGAUUCACAAUUAAAUAUGGUAUAUCCAUAUUUUCCAAGACUGCCCCAUGUUCAGAUUACUAAGAUUGUUAGGUGCCCUUUUUCAACACAUUUUGUAAGCUGUCAUUGGAUGUAAUAGGUUACCAAUUUAUCCAGAAUGUCAGGGAUAUAUCAAAGUCACAAGUAUAAUGAUUUUUGCAAUAUAUAUAUUCUUUCGUA